rnacentral:rRNA from 1 species
AUUGAACGCUGGCGGCAUGCCUUACACAUGCAAGUCGAACGGCAGCACGGGUGCUUGCACCUGGUGGCGAGCGGCGAACGGGUGAGUAAUACAUCGGAACAUGUUCUGUAGUGGGGGAUAGCCCGGCGAAAGCCGGAUUAAUACCGCAUACGAUCUACGGAUGAAAGCGGGGGACCUUCGGGCCUCGCGCUAUAGGGUUGGCCGAUGGCUGAUUAGCUAGUUGGUGGGGUAAAGGCCUACCAAGGCGACGAUCAGUAGCUGGUCUGAGAGGACGACCAGCCACACUGGAACUGAGACACGGCCCAGACUCCUACGGGAGGCAGCAGUGGGGAAUUUUGGACAAUGGGCGAAAGCCUGAUCCAGCAAUGCCGCGUGUGUGAAGAAGGCCUUCGGGUUGUAAAGCACUUUUGUCCGGAAAGAAAUCCUUGGCCCUAAUACGGUCGGGGGAUGACGGUACCGGAAGAAUAAGCACCGGCUAACUACGUG